AUGACUCACAUAACAUUUGCUGUGGGUGAUGCAGUAUUUCUCAAGCUUCAACCAUGUGCUCAACUCUCAUUGUAUUGCAGAACAGAUCACAAGCUGGCUUUUAAGUUCUAUGAACCAUUUCAAAUAGCGGAGAAGAAUGGUGACAUGGCUUACAAGCUGGAUCUUCCUGAUAGUAGCCACCUACAUCCAGUGUUUCAUGUUUCUCAGCUCAAGCGAUUCUUGCUGCGGGAAGCUGUUCUGAAUCUGAAAUUACCUCAAGUUCAUGCUACACUGCAAUUUCCUCCCCAAGUGUUACAACAGCGGGUGCGACAGAUUGGAAACCACACCAUUGCUCAAGGGCUAAUCCAAUGUUCUGAAUCUUCACCUGCUGAUGCCACAUGGGAGGACUUGGAAUUCUUGAAGCAGCAAUUUCCCCAUGCACCGCCUUGGGGGCAAGCCAGCUCUCAAGGAGGGAGGAAUGUCAACAACUCUGUCAGUCAGGAAGCGAUAACUGAAGAACAAGGCGUGUUGGCAACAACAUGUGAAGGCACUGUAGCAAAUCCAACAAGUGAGGAAGAAGCGGCAAGAUUCGAGACUGCUCGCGGCCCAGGUGGAACUCCGGUCCGGACUGGACCCAAUAGUUUAAAUACAAACUUGUAA
rnacentral:rRNA from 1 species